GCGAGCUCUCAUGUUGCUCGAAUCUGCAGGAACGACAGAAGUUGGCGACAAUUCACCAUCGGAGGAAGAUUCUUCUUCAGCUUUUGGUCGUCUCCGUGCACGGGCUGUUCUAAUUGAUCGAGGUGCUGGAGUGGGUGGAAGUUCCACUGACUCAACUUCAUCGAGGAAGCAUACAAGGAUCAGAGACCUGGAUUCCUAUGUGCUAGGACUCAGCUGAGAGGUGUUAAUAACAACCACUAGACUCGCUUGUAGUCACAAGGAAGAAUAAAGUAUCCAAAAUGCAUUUCUAGUCCACUGGAGAAGGAAAAAUAUCCCCCAUGGGAUGGGGCAUUUGUAGUCACUCCCUAAACUGCUGUCUAUUUUUCCAAUUUGUCCUAUGAACAGAAGCAUGUUAUAACUGAUGAAGUUUUCUAAACUAGUCCGAAUAUUGCAGGAUUUCACCUGCUAAA